UCGAUCCUACGGGGGGCAGCAGUGGGGAAUAUUGGGCAAUGGGCGCAAGCCUGACCCAGCAACGCCGCGUGAAGGAAGAAGGCUUUCGGGUUGUAAACUUCUUUUCUUGGGGACGAAGAAAGUGACGGUACCCAAGGAAUAAGCCACGGCUAACUACGUGCCAGCAGCCGCGGUAAUACGUAGGUGGCAAGCGUUAUCCGGAUUUAUUGGGUGUAAAGGGCGUGUAGGCGGGAUUGCAAGUCAGAUGUGAAAACCACGGGCAUAAACUGUGGCCUGCAUUUGAAACUGUAGUUCUUGAUUGCUGG
rnacentral:rRNA from 1 species